GACGAACCGUGCGAACGUUAUUCGGAAUCACUGGGCUUAAAGCGCGUGUAGGCGGGCCGGCACGUCGGUCGCUGAAAUCCCCCGGCUCAACCGGGGAACGGGCGCCGAUACGACCGGCCUGGAGGGGGGUAGGGGGCGCUGGAACUCACGGUGGAGCGGUGAAAUGCGUUGAGAUCGUGAGGAACGCCCGCGGCGAAAGCGAGCGCCUGGACCCUUUCUGACGCUGAGACGCGAAAGCCAGGGGAGCGAACGG
rnacentral:rRNA from 1 species